CAAAGCUUAAUGAUAGAAUGAGGGCACAGUCUUUCUGAAUCCUGGGCCCUCUGUUUAAAGGGUGGGAGUUUCCUCAGAACUUCCUGUAAAAACUGUAGCCUUCUCAGGAUUUUUCAAAAUACAGGAGAUAGGUUAUUUGCUGUUCCCUGGAGUCUGGCUUUUUUUCAGGAAACUGGGGCAGUUAGUUCAAACACCACUUGGUGCUCAGCUAUAUAUGUCGAAAAAGUGUGGCUUCCUAGCUCUGGUUGCGCUGCUCCGCUGGAACCUGGAAAGAGUGGUGAGAUUUAGAAAGCCAGACAAAAUAGGGAAUUGGCAUAGAGAGAAGCCACAUGAUUCCAAAAGGGCAGAGGAUUUGGAGCAUGGAGCCACCCAAUGGAAGCUCAGGACUAGAGAUGAAUUCCUCCUUGAGUGGUUCUGCUGAUGCUGAUGAUAAUGGAAUAUACUAGAUUCUGAGUUCAGAUUAUAAACGACAUUGUACCAUUGUGUCCCUAUGUACAGACUGCACCUGUAGCUUGAGAGAGAAGGUAACAGGAGAGUAGUUCUGGAACUCUACAGCAAUCACAAUGCUCUUGUCAAGUUCUUUUGAAGAGUCCAGAGUACAGCCUGUUAUGUAUCUCAGGUGAUUUCAAAAAAGAGUUCAAGAUGACUCAGAAGAUCAGAGCAAGGCUGAAUAGAUGAAUUAAGAGAUAAUGUUCUUAGGAGUAGUCAGAGGGCAAGCAAAAGAUUCAAAAGAGUUUUCAAUAAGACAUCGGCAAGUCUGAAAAUGAGAGCCUGCGUCACUCAUGGGGCAUACUUGUGUGAUGUGUGGGUUUCCCUACCCGAGAACUCAUAGAAUCACAGAGCUCAGAGUUAACGCCACAGGUCACAGGAGGCUCACCCUGGCUCCAGUGGGGAAGCCUUGGCCAUCAUUCAGAGUGAGAGACCUGGAGAAGCCCAGAGACUAAAUUAUGAAGUCCAACUCUGUGGAGGGCUUUGAAAACAGAGCCCUGACCAGUGCUGAAUUGACUUGAAGAAUGAUGAAGGGUUGGCUUCUCUCUCUCGGCAGCUGUGAGUUUGGUCAGCCCUUUGCAAAGUAAGAGGAAGUUUAAUGAACGCAAAUAAGACAUGAUCCUUUGUGGCUAUAAAAGUUACACUUUGAAAAAGCUCAGCUGGUCAAGAGCCACUUGAAAAUGAUGUUCCUGUGGGGGAACUCUGUCAAAAGUCCACUCCUCUUGUUAUAAGCUCUUAAUUCAUCCCACCCAAAGCAUCCAUCUACGCAGGAACUGUGGCGAGAAGAAGAUGGAUGAUGUUCAACAUGCAACCUAUGACUAUGCAGUGAGAAAAAACCUGUACGACAGGCUAUUGGUCUGUAAGAAGACUAUCUAUUCCAGUGGAGAAAAGCUACUUCUUUCGCCCUUGAUGUCCUUGACAGGCUUACCUGCCUUAGGUAGUAAACUUUUGAUACAGUGGAGGUAUAAGUAAUGUGAUCCCUCUUCCAGACUCAGGCAAUGGUAGGAAGGAGAAGAGAGAAAGAAGAAAGAAGUGAAGAUAAGUGAGUUCUGAGUUUCAUCUUUUCUGGCUUUCCUCCAACCUUAUCUUGGAGGCUGUACCAUGCAUUCUGAAUCUGAGGUGCCACCAUGUCAAAGCCUCAUGGUGGCAGAGAAUGUGCUGAGGGUCUCCAAGACCACUUCCAGGAUCAGUGAUUUGCUAGGAGGCCUCACAGGGCUCAGCUUGUUUUGUACUCAUGGUUAUGGUUUACUACAGUGAAAGGAUACAAAGUAAAAUCAGCAAAGGGAAAAGGGGCCUGGGAAAAAGUUUGGAGGAACCAGACCCAAGCUUCCUUGAGUCCUCUCUUGGUGGACUCUCAUUGGAUGUACUUGAUUCUCUCAGCAGUAAGGCAUCCACGUGUAAAAUGUUGUCUACCAGGAUGCUCAUUAGAAACUCAGUGCUCAGAGUUUUUACUGGGAGCUUCUCAUGAAGGUAUCCUCUUCCUGGUGGGUACCAAAUUCCAGGUUCCCAGAAGGAAAACAGGUCGUCAGCAAAAACCACAUUGUUUGCACAAAUAAUUGAGAGACAGUGAUUUAUUUUUAUUAGUUAAUAUGGUGGGAAUCCUCCCACAAUCCAAGUCCUAUACACUAGCCAUGAGAUAACUUUGUAAGCAGGCUUAAGGAUAGCAGUCGUAGGCUUGCUGUGACUCUUUUCUGCACAGACGGUAAUCAGGCAGAGAGGCUCUAGGGUAGACUUUCCUGGUAGCCUUCAAUUCUCAGGUGGCAUAGACUUUCCUGGUAGCCUUCAAUUCUCAUUGCUGUAUGAAACCACCGUGGGACUGCUGUAGAGUCUGCUGUGUGAUGGGAUUGAUUGUGCAGGACAGGCUGGGAUGGGUGGGGAUCACUGGUCCAGGUGGACAGCUCAGCAGUUAGGAUCUGCAGCCAGCAGGAGUAAGGAGAGACCAAAUUGUCCGGGGAAUACCAUCCAGAACCUUUCCGAGGGAGAAACAACGAGCGGUAAGUUCAUUAGCCACACAUAACAGCACAAAUAGGAGGCAUGAUGACCAGGACAGAAAGGGAUAUCCCCUUGGAUAUUUGGUAAAUAUACAAAGACUAGAACAAGCUCAGGGGCCCCUUUCUUUCAACAUCGAAGGAACACAUAAGAUGUCCUUCUGUUUCUAUGCACUCAGAUGCUCUCUUUGGAAGAUUAAUAGAGGAGAGGGUCGUGGCUGAACAUUAGCUAGAAGACUGUUUAGGUUAUAGAUCAUUGCUUUAAGCUAAAAUGCACACUCAAUGUAGUUUUUCUCCUACUUACCAGUGUAUAGCUAUUUGGGGAACAAAUCCAGAUUAGCGACUGAAUAAAUAAAUCACAUUUCUCCCCACAUCUGCAUUGUAAUAUGACUUAAACUCUGUGCCUUUACUGUACUAGUAAUUUUUAUUUAAUUUAUGAGAAAGGAUACUAAAGAUAUUUUCCAUUUCACUGACAUAAAGCCCUUUUCCCCUUUUAGAUAUUUGCCAAAACUGAGGACACCUUGCCACUAGGUGCUCAAUGUGCUUUAAAUUCAAAGUCCAAGAUAUAUUCAAACAUGAAGCUCUUUUAAAGCCACUAUGCAAUAGUCUUCAAAAAUGGCUGCCCACAUCCUAUACCUCCCUUACCCCUGCUAAGCACUUCCACCGUGUGAGACUGUUUAUGGAAUAUCUCCUGGUAAAUUGUGAGCUCCCGAAACAGGAACCAUGCUUGUUUACUUCUCUACUGAAUCUACAAUACCCAGAAUAAUGUCUGGCACAUACUGCUCUUUCAGCAAAUAUCUGUUCAAUAUAAGACUUCAGACUGGCACCUAGAUGUUCAAAGCCUAAUUCUUAGCUUCUAAUGAAUUCCAUCUCUAAAGUGAUGAGACCCAGCAGAACGCAUCACUGCCCUUUUGGAGCCCCUACAAUUGGCACAACAAGGGCGAACAAUGGGAACGAUCUGUCACCUGUGCAGGAGCUCGCUGAGUUGGCUUAGUUCUACAUAGGAGGAAGACCCUGAUCCCUAGUGCUCAACACAAAAAUGCUUCAAUGAUCACCUGAGCUUGUUUUACCUUGAAACACUCUCUGGAAAAUUGCUGCUCCAGGAAUGUGACAAAAAAUCUGAAGUCAGCGAGCAUACAACAGACGGAUUAAAUGGAUAAUAUCACUUGUGGGUAUUGGAAGAGAUAUGCUGACACCACUCCAACUAUUUAGCACCUACUAUUUCCACUAAAGUGUGCUGCACAAGAUCAAACCAGAACUUCUGGCUGGGAGUGGUAUCUCAAGCAAGUCAAGGGCAGGAAAUAUGUGCUGGAGCUGAGGAGAUUGUAGAGGCAGCUGAAAAGGUAGGAGACAGCAAGAGGAGCAGAGCAGCCUACAGAUGAGAAGACAAGUGAUUUACCCAGAAGUUCUGAGGUUACUCUUGGUCAAAGGGAAAAUCCUUCUGAGAGAUUUUGAUUUUAGGUUUUUGAUUCUACUUCUGUUUCUAUGAAUGAUAGAGAAAAGAAGAAGCCUAUGAAGUAUACAUUGUCAUGGUUUUCUAUAGAUGAGAAUCAGUGCAUUUAAGCUAUUAACUGAGUUACCUAAUUAGUUAAGGAAAGAGUUGGGAUUACAACCCAAGUGUGUUUGAUCUCAGAGACCAAUCUUUCUGAUUCACAAAUGCUCUUUCCCUAGUACAAUCCAUACCAGUGUUUUCCAAAUUUGUUUAUUCUGUGAGAUUAAUAAAAGUGAAAUUAGAGUAUAACCUGCAAUAAAAGUUCUUGUUGGUGGUGAAUUGAAGGCAAGACUCAGAAAAGACCAUGUAAUUGAAUAUGUGAAGCAACUGAGAUUUUGGCUAACAGGCUGUGUCCUUGUGAAGAUAAGGAAAAGAGAAAAUAAUGAGGAAAAAGAAAUGGAUAAGGCAAGGAAAAGACAAUAGUGGAAGCCAAAGCAAAGUGAAAGGAAAAACAGAUCAUCCGUUACAUUUUGCUUUAUUACCACCACCAUUCUUAGGCAUCAGAAGAUUUAAAAAAUCAUGGUAGUAACUUUUUGAAGAAAUAUUGAUAAAACUUGCUUCCAAAUAUUUGUAUUUUUUAUAAAUAAAGGCAUAACCAGAAUUCAAUAAUCUGUUUUUAAUGCCACAAGUAGUACAAUGUUAGCAAACUAGACUGUAAGAUAUUCUGUUUAAGUGUGUGUCUGUGCAUGAGUGGGCAGGCAGGGGAUCUUUGUGGUG